UGAUCCAGAAGUUCGAGACACGCUACAGCACGACGAUACCGACUAGAGCUGAACAAUGACCGGUUUCUGUUUCAAAUGUGGACAUGACAUCAACGGCUGGUCUCUCAAACACCACCGAUCAGUCACUACAUCCUAUCUUGAGCUUGGUACCACUGCCCUCCACUGCGAAUGAGAUCGAUGAAGAUACCUUAGAUGAAUCAACAGAUGAGAGCAUUGAUAGUGACUACAAUGAUGCUGAUUAUGUACCUGACACUACUGGAACUGACUCUGAUGACUCUUUGACUGUUCAAGACAAACUAGAGAGGUCACCAUUUCCCCAAUUAAUGCCAGUGAUGGGGAAAUGCUCAAACAACAAAAGCAGCUCAACAGUCACCCCAGACAGAGAAAUUUGCAUGGAUAAGGACUAUGCAUUAAAGAGGAUGGAGAUACUCUCAUCCACCCCAAGAAAGAGGAUAGUCAGCCCAAGGAAAAAGAGGAAGACACUUCUCCACCGAGAAAGAAAAAGAUUUGACAGUCAGCCCAGAGAAAGACAGCAGCUCCAUAGUCAGCCCAGUCAAAGAAAGUUUAAUUGAAGUACUGUGUACUACAAAUAAUAAAGAGCGUCGGGUGUACGAUAAGAGUAACUACUGCCUUUAUUGGUCCAAGCCAACAUCAAAGAUCUCCCGACACCUUCAAACUGUUCAUCGUGAUAAGCCAGAUGUUGCAAAAGCCCUCUAUUAUCCACAAGAUUCUAAAGAACGACGAGCUCGACUGGGCAUUUUGAGGAACAGAGGAAACUUUGCCCACAAUACUGAUGUGGUUAAAAAAAGGAAAUGGUCAUCUCGUUGCACGUUAUCGAACACAGGAGAUCAGACAUGGUAAAGAUUUUAUUCACUGUGCGCACUGUCAAGGUCUGUACUCAAAAAAACCAUUAUGGAAACAUAUCAAAGUCUGUCCAGAAAAGACAAAAGAGAAUGACACCCAAGUUGGAAGAAAAAGAGUUCGAUCCCUGUGUGCUCUUACCACCCCUGUUGGUCUUGAAAUUAGUGAAAGCCUACACAAGAUUCUUACUCACAUGAACUAUGAUGAAGUGUCGAGGGUUGUUCAGAAUGACACAUGCAUCCUCCAACUAGGACAGCAUAUGUUCAACAAACUAAAGAACAGAGGGAACAAUUAUGAUGACUAUAUAAGUCAGAAGUUGAGAGAAGCUGGAAGAAUGGUCCUGAAAGCUCAAAAGGCUACACCACUAAAGAAAGUGGAGGAGUUCUUUAUUACUAACAACUUUCCACAUGUUAUAGCAGCAGUGAAGAAGGCAGCGGGAUAUGAUCCUAAAACCAACACAUAUCAAACCCCAUCUUUAGCACUCAAGCUUGGCCACACUCUGAAGAAAAUCUCCAGUAUUGUUGAGAGUAAUGCUUUGAUGCUUGGUGAUCAUAUCACAGCAGAAUAUGCUAAAAUGUACAGGACUAUACAUGACAGCAGACGGGAAGAGUUCAUCUCCUCUGGUGCACUCAGCACUCUUAGGGAGGCCAAAUGGAAUGUACCACAGGUCUUACCGUUUACCCAAGAUGUGAAGCUGUUGAACGAACAAAGUACUUCUGAAAGAAUGCUUAGACUCUCCCCCACUCCAGAGAACUAUGCUAACCUGGCUAAGGUUACACUUGCAUUAGUGAUUACAUUCAACAGGAGAAGAGCAGGAGAAGUAUCUCGAAUGUUACUGACUGCAUUCAGGUCCUGCAACAAAUCAGUUCUGCAUGAUGACAUGGCUAUCUGCUUGACGCCAUUCGGGAGGAAGCUGUGCGAGUUUUUCACAAGGGUGGAGAUCCGAGGGAAACGUGGAAGAAUGGUUCCUGUCCUUUUAAAACCGUCAAUGGUGACUGCUAUGGAGCUGCUGUGGUGUAUCAAGUGACAAUGUAUUCAUGUUUGCAAGACCAGAUGCCUUGUCAUCCUACAGAGGUGGGGAGUGCCUUCAGAAAUAUGGCAAACUCUGUGGUGCCAAACACCCUGAAGCACUGACUUCAACGAAGCUAAAAAACAUAUUGCAACAAUGUCGCAGGUCUUGAAUCUUGAGGAAAAUGAAUCUGACCAACUGGCUGACUUCUUAGGCCAUGAUAUUCGCAUCCACAGAGAGUUCUAUAGGCUGCCCCAAGGAACGUUGCAGCUUGCUAGAAUGAGCAAAGUCCUGCUGGCUAUGGAAAGGGGUACUGUGUCACAGUUCAAAGGGAUGACACUGCAUGACAUUGAAAUUGACCCUGAAGAGAAACUGCCAUACUGCAACGAAGAAGAGGAGGCUUCUUCAAGUGCUACUUCAGAGGAGGAAGAUGCCUGUCCCAGCACUGACAUGGACACAUCUGCCUCUUUAGAACCACCAACUGCUGCUACUCUUCCUAUACAAGAACGAGUAGAAAAGCCCAGACGCAAAUGGGACAUGGCAGAAGUGAAUGCAGUCGAGAAACAUCUGAUGAAGUUCAUCAGAACAUUCACAAUUCCAGUUCUGGGAGGCGAUUGGUGAGGAGCGUGGCAUCGACCCCACCGGGACCUGCCACGGAGACCGCGACCUGCUGCUGGAACGGAUAAAUGUGUACUUCAACGAGGCUACAGGUUAACUGCCUCCGACCUGCACAGGCUGAUUACCUAAUGUCUGGGUUAGGCGAGUAAUUCAGAAGGUAUAAAUUGGAUUUUUAAGAACCAUCAGUCACAUUUUGUAAAUGGCCCGUUCUCAGCUCGCUCCGAUCGUCUGCUUGAUUGUUGUUAUGACAGGUGGUCUAAUGAAUUUGUUAAGCACUGUAUGUCAGAUUUACACAUUUUUAUCAUCUUCAUGAAUUAAAAAUAGCUCACUUACAGAAGUUUGGGCAUAAUCCUAACAUGCAACACUUUAUAACACAGAAAAACACCACCAAACUCAGAAUGUGUUCUUUGGAAUUUUUCUUGCAUGUUGAAUUAAAUAUUUUAUGAUUAGAGUGCAAAAUCACAACAGUCUAUUUUAAUGCUCUAAUACUGUAAAAUACAGGAACCAAUGACUAACGUACAUAUGCAACACUUUUUUCAUAUUUGACAACACAAGAAAAAAAUAAGAAAAAGAUUUUUUUUUAAUUCAUUUUUUUUAUUGAUGCCAAUUUUAAAACAGUUAAACUCCAGAUUAAAAAGCACCAAAUUAAAAGAAUCCGUCUCCUUAAGAUGUUUCUACUGUAGGGUAAAGACUCUACAGUACGAAACAUCUUUCUCUCUGGUACUCUCUACAGUACCAGAGAGAAAUCCCAACAAUCAAUGAUCCCCUAUGAGCAAGCACUCGGCGACGGUGGGGAGGAACAACUCCCUUUGAACAGGAAGAAACCUCCGGCAGAACCAGGCUCAGGGAGGGGGGGUCAUCUGCCGCGACCGGUUGGGCUGAGGGGAGAGAAAAGACAUGCUGUCUAACCGAAUACAGCUUUAAAAGCUCUAAACAGUUCAUCAGACUCUUGUAGUGACAGGUCCGCUGAAGACCCCAUUACAGUGUUAUCAAUGGUGCAGGCAUACUGCUUCAUCAGAGCAUCCUCAUCAAUCUUCAUGUUUCCACGUCUGCUCACACAGGCAGUGAGAUGGAGGGUGGCUUCAAACCUGGAGAACAUGAGCGCCAGAGACAGAGCCGAGGUGAUAACAUUGAAGGGGACGCUAAUUUCGCUGUUAUCUGGGAGGAUGAAUGGGAUGAUGAUGCGGUUUCUCCCAGCUUUACCGUGCUGAGUCUUAAGACUCUCAAAUGCUCUCCAUGCACGAUCUUUAGGUUUUAGCGAACUCAGCGUGAUGUGGGGAAUCUUUUGGUCUCCAGCCUUCUUCAUGGAGUUCCACUCAUCUGGAAGUUUGGUGGGUUGAUGCCCAGCAUCAGGAAUUUUGCAGCGUUUUUUGUUACAGAAGUAGCAGCACCACUGGAAGAAGAAGCAGCAUUUCCAAACAGGAAUGCUACAGCAACACUCUCUGUCGUCAAGCGUCAUGCGUCCUUUAGCUACACUGUAUGCUACUUCAGCAUCCAUGGCACAGUUCCAGGGAGAAUACAGGAGCACAUCAGUGAUUCCGGGCCGAAGCAGAGAGCUGGCUGAUAUCAUGGAGUCUGUGAUCGCUCCAUGUGCCACAAAGAUGAUGUCAAUGAUGUUGGAGUGUUUUUUCUUUUCCUCCUUCUUAAUCUUUUUAUUCAGGAAUUAAAAAAUUUUGAGAGAUAAGUCUAGAGAUUGGAAGAAUGUGUCAGACUUAGGGUUCUUUCUCAGCCACUGCAGGGUGAUUUCAUCUUUGCAGCUGUCCAUCACAAAAUCUGUUAAGGAUUUUUUUUCUUCACUGUUCCUCUGACUUUCUACCUUUUCAAUGGCACGUUUAACGCUCAUUAAUCUCUGGAAAAAAUUUAAUAAGUUGAUCCUAGGCUGUGAUGUAGGAACAGUGUGACUGGAUGUAGCAGAGCUUUCUUCCAGAAAGAUGCUCUGCUCUGCUGUACUCAAAGCAGAUGCUGGCUUUGAAGGGCAGGAUGCUGCAGAUCUUACAUCUUCUGGGCUUUCUCCCCUGACCGUCUGGCUUUGAAUCAGAGGCAGAACAAGUCUCAGGAAUUUGGCAGAGGUGAUCUGAAAGAUUUCAGAAAUCAGAUCAGCCAGAAGUGCUUUAACAUCUGAGUCCCAAGCACCAUGUUUUAUCAUGUCCAACUGUUCUUCAGAGAGCUUCUCAAAGAAGCCAUUAAUAGCUGGUAAAAGGUCCUCUGCUGUGACCACGGUUGGAGUUUCAGCUUCGUUUUCUUUCAUUGUUGACAAGUAUUAUCUCCUCCGUUUGAAUCUUCCUUUCGUGAGUGCAGAGUGUCUGGCAUCGAACUUAAACCUUCCUUUCAUGACGUCAUCCGCGACCACAUCAAAGACAUUAGAACCGUCAAAGGAAUUUCGGCCGCUUUUAUGUCUGAAACUUCACAAGAACGCGCGCGCGCAGAAGGAAUCCACACGUGAACGAAGGAAUCCCCACGUGAACGCGCAUGAAUGAAAAUCACUAACGUACUAGUUAGUGCCCAGCAGUGUUGCCAAGGCCACUCAUUAUAAGUGGCCUUGGCAACACUUAUAAUAACCGCAAAGAAAAAACCGCAAAGCUCGUGAGUCGCGGGUUGCGGUUAUUUGGGCUUGUUUUUGAACAUGGAGUUGCUUAUUUGGGCUUGACUCUUUGCUCCUCCUUGAAUAUCUCUCGGCAACCUUUAAUAAAGCAAAAGCGAGUGGCAGGUAGUUUGUCCCUUCCAAGCCCCCGUUUCCUGUUUAUCGCUCCUGGUCAAGUUGACGGGCGCACAGCCAAACAAACACUAACAGCUCAGAGUGAGGAGGCAGCGCACGAAUGAGCUCCAGUAAGCGGGGAAAAUAUCUAAAAAAAUCUAAUGAAGAGCGGGAGAAAGCGAGCGCACUGACAGAAUGGAUCCGAGACAGUGGCGCUGUGCACUAUAUGCGUAGAGGCGCCGCACGAGAGGGGUAGUCGGCGUUUUCUGUAUUGAACAGCUGUGCAUAUGAAAUGAUCAAUAACAGAGGAACAGCGCUGAUUAGGCACCCCUGCUCCUUCACCCCCCCUCCCCCUGUCGCCCCCCCCAGCCUAAAAUUGUGUCCGCAUGCACCUCAGAAAGUAGCUGCUCCUAAUGGGAGACGUACCAAAGGCAUUCUGCAGAUUGUGUGAAAUAUGUGCUCACCAUGCUGAUUUAGUUCAACAUGCUGAUACAGAGAAGCACUGUUGGGAUAUUCAUGAUAUAUGCCACAUAUAUAUCUUACAUACACUGACUUCCCUGAGAAAUUUGUCUGGAAAAUAACUGAUUAAAAACACAGAAGCUUAUAAUGUUCCGUGUCCUCAUGAACUUUGUAUUGUGACGGUACAAUGAGCCACACUGAUGAAGACUACACAGUGAUAGAAAUGGAGACUUCGAGGUCACCCUGUUGUUGAAAUUCUCUGUUUUGUAAAUGAUGUAAUCAAGGCUGAUAUGCUGUGAUUAUGUGACACUGUAAGCUGAAUUAGAAAGAGCCAUCUGUGACCCAGAUAUCU